rnacentral:tRNA from 2 species
GCCGACGUGGUGAAAUUGGUAGACACGCCAUCUUGAGGGGGUGGUGAGCUAUGCUCGUGCCGGUUCGAGUCCGGCCGUCGGCACCA